rnacentral:rRNA from 1 species
UGCUGAAAGCAUCUAAGCAUGAAGCCCCCCUCAAGAUGAGAUUUCCCAACUUCGGUUAUAAGAUCCCUCAAAGAUGAUGAGGUUAAUAGGUUCGAGGUGGAAGCAUGGUGACAUGUGGAGCUGACGAAUACUAAUCGAUCGAAGACUUAAUCAAAA